CCUACGGGGGGCAGCAGUGGGGAAUAUUGGACAAUGGGGGGAACCCUGAUCCAGCCAUGCCGCGUGUGUGAAGAAGGCCCUCGGGUUGUAAAGCACUUUCAGUGAGGAAGAACGCCUGGUGGUUAAUACCCAUCAGGAAAGACAUCACUCACAGAAGAAGCACCGGCUAACUCCGUGCCAGCAGCCGCGGUAAUACGGAGGGUGCGAGCGUUAAUCGGAAUUACUGGGCGUAAAGCGCGCGUAGGUGGCUUGAUAAGCCGGUUGUGAAAGCCCCGGGCUCAACCUGGGAACGACAUCCGGAACUGUCAAGCUAGAGUGCAGGAGAGGAAGGUAGAAUUCCCGGUGUAGCGGUGAAAUGCGUAGAGAUCGGGAGGAAUACCAGUGGCGAAGGCGGCCUUCUGGACUGACACUGACACUGAGGUGCGAAAGCGUGGGUAGCAAACAGGAUUAGAUACCCCAGUAGUC
rnacentral:rRNA from 1 species